rnacentral:lncRNA from 1 species
GGGCGGCGGGAUUGGGCUCCGUGUUGCGGGGUGGCCUUGUUAAUUUUAGAGAGGUCUCCUCUGCCCCACCAACCCGUGGGCCUGGGUUUGUCACUGCCGCGGGGCGCCAAACACAGACUAAUCCAGAGUUGUCCCUUGAGUUAGGAGUUGGAGGAAAUCGAAAAAUGUCCGUCUACAGAGAGGGCUAGGAAAGGCCUGUCGGACCCUCCUCAGUGUCUUUAGCACCUAGUGAAUGGUUUUUUGAGCGACUGAAGGGUUGGUGAGGCAGGGGUAUUAGGGGACCCCUAUCCAUCGCUUCUUGAACUCCAAAUGAGGCUUGACCUGGGCUAAAAGAGCUGCAGUAAGGGGGCACUUUCUCAGCUCCCUGCUCCCUGGGAGCUGGGUCCCUGGAACCUAGUAAAAAUCGUCCUUCCAGACUUAGGAGUGACCAGAACAUAAACCUGAAGGCAUGGAACUGGUCUUAAAGCUGACCCUUCUGCUCCAGCAAGACCCCUUUCCCAUGAAGAGCCAGAGUGAUCUUUUAAAAAGAUCUGAACUGCAGAGGGUCAUUCUGCCCUUGAAAAGAAACCAAGAUAAAAGGAAACAGCUCUCAGGAAUUAUAAGCAAAACACAACCAGACACUCACUGCGGAUUGCCCCAUUUUCCACCUCUUUAGUAAGUGGUUUGGCUUUUAGUGCAUUGCAGAUAUAUGUGCUUGGGUAGCCCUUUUCUUUGCAACGGGAUUUGAUUCUCCUUAUUCUUUUCCUGUCUAUGCCUAGUAAGUCUUGAAAAUCCUUCACUUCUUCAUUCCACAGAUGUUUACUGAAUGCCUGCUAUGUGCAAGAUACUGAUUCUUCCUCUGCUGUGACUUUUGGAUAAUCCAGACUUGAAUUGAGGGGGCAUUGCUGGCUUGAAAAUGAUCCAAGAGCAGAAGAAACACUUCUCAAAAUCAUCCACCAAACAAACAAAAAUUGAGAAACAUAGAUUUUUUGUUUGUUUGUUUUUUCUCUUCAAGAAUGAACCAGGACUCUAACUUUGGAUUUUCAGUAAGUCAUAUAACCUGUCUACGUAAAGCCUUCCAUUUUCAUCUUUUGAUUCAUCUUAUCUGUAAGAUGAAUUAAUCACACCCUCCUAUGACUUCUCCUUUGGCCACUUAUCAUUCUCAGACUGUCCUGAAUUGAAUUAUUAGGAAGUACAGGCCUUGGAAAUGAAGCCAAGAUAAAAGGAAAAUACUCAAGUUCCCUACUUUCCCUUAGGAAAUAAAGCAGAUUAAAGUAGUGCUCUUCCGGGUUUU